GCGCAGCAGUCGCGAAAACUUCACAAUGGAGGCAACUCCGAUGAGGGAAUUCCUAGUGCCAAAGCAUUUUGUGUUGGCUUUUCUUCAGCGUAGAUAACUGAUGGAAUAAGAGCUGGGCAAGACCG
rnacentral:rRNA from 1 species